GUACACUCCUGCGGGAGGCAGCAGUGGGGAAUAUUGCACAAUGGGCGCAAGCCUGAUGCAGCCAUGCCGCGUGUAUGAAGAAGGCCUUCGGGUUGUAAAGUACUUUCAGCGGGGAGGAAGGCAAUACGGUUAAUAACCGUGUUGAUUGACGUUACCCGCAGAAGAAGCACCGGCUAACUCCGUGCCAGCAGCCGCGGUAAUACGGAGGGUGCAAGCGUUAAUCGGAAUUACUGGGCGUAAAGCGCACGCAGGCGGUCUGUCAAGUCGGAUGUGAAAUCCCCGGGCUCAACCUGGGAACUGCAUUCGAAACUGGCAGGCUUGAGUCUUGUAGAGGGGGGUAGAAUUCCAGGUGUAGCGGUGAAAUGCGUAGAGAUCUGGAGGAAUACCGGUGGCGAAGGCGGCCCCCUGGACAAAGACUGACGCUCAGGUGCGAAAGCGUGGGGAGCAAACAGGAUUAGAAACCCUUGUAGUCCC
rnacentral:rRNA from 1 species